rnacentral:lncRNA from 10 species
GUCAUACCAGCUCAGGUGUAGGGAGCAAUAUUAGGGGAUGAUUGCUCCACUUAGCCUAGAGUCUGGGUCCCUGGAGGAGCAGGUGCUACAUCAGGUCAGGCACAAUACAAUUUGUAUUUUAAGAUCUAUAUAGUAUUUUUCUUUUGUUUGUAAUAGGUCAAGUAUCAUCACUUUAUCACUGCUGCCAGGUAUUACAGGUCAAAACUACAUAUCAGAAUACUCAUUCUGUCAAAAUUCAUGAUAGAAAAAGAGUUAAUAACAUAAUCAACAACAUGUAUUGCAGAAUGAAAAGAGCUUUGGAUGUGUGGAGCAUUAAGCCUUUCUCACCUAGAAUCAGUUUGUUGCAAUAAUCCACAACGGCUAACAGCAUAUUCAUGAACUCAGAUCACUGAAGAAAUACCUAUUAACCAGAGAAAAUACGUACAGGAAAAAUGGAGAAGAAACGAGCUGGCAUUACAAGAGGAUGGCGUUGAUCCUACAAUGAAAAUUUUAGGAAAUGGGGCACACAAGCAACUAUGGACAAAGAAUGUCAAAGGAACUUCCUAAGAACAUGGAGAGACAUCAUCAAUCAUAGUACAGGAAACACUGAUGUUUGAAGAGUAACAUGGUAGAAAAUUGAACAAUAAUACUUAUGAUGGCAACGUAGUGUGAAGGCAGAAAGCUGAAGGGCUUGAAAAAUAAAGGGAAACAGUCUCACUUUGAGGGUGGCCGCACAGUGACCAAAGCAGCACUUUAAAAUAAAGUUUGUUUUUAAAUAUAAUGAAAA